CUGUUAUUUCUUUUUUUUUUUUUUUUUUUUUUUUUUUUUUUUUUUUUUUUUUUAUUUUUUUUUUUUUUUUUUUUUUUUUUUUUUUUUUUUUUUUUUUUUUUUACUUUUAUAUAUUUGAUUUUUUGAUCAUUUAUUUAGUAUUUAUUACUUAUUUAUUAUUUAUUAUUUUUUAUUUGUUAUUUUUUAUUUGUUAUUUUUUAUUUGUUAUUUUUUAUUUUUUAUUUGUUAUUUAUUAUUCAUUAUUUAUUAUUCAUUAUUUAUUAUUCAUUAUUUAUUAUUUAUUUUUUACCUUUCUAAAAAAUUUAAAAACAAUUAAAUUUAUAAAGCAUUGAAAGGAGGGACAUAAGCGUAAAGCUGCAAAUAUAUGUACAUAUAUAUAUAUAUAUAUAUAUAUAUAUAUAUAUUUAUGUACAUAUGUACAAACUUAUGAACAUACACAUGUAUGCACGUAUGUAACAUCUAUACAAAAAUAAAAGGUACAUUGCCACCCAUGUAUAAUAUUAAUUAAUAUUUCUAUGCACACGUGUACAGAGGAAAUCAGGGAGGAUGUGGGGAUAAAGGAAACCCCAUAUGUUCAUGAUGUUGUUAAUAUAAUAAACACAUCCAAACAAAAUGAUGCAGUACGAGAAAAUAUAUUAUUAGAUUUACACUUAGAAAAAAAUAAUAAUAAUAAUGAUAUAAAUCAUGAAAAUGGUAAAAAAAAAUUUAAGUAUAAUAGAAAUACAUAAAUUUAUAAAUAAAUUAAAAAGUACUAAUGCAUCAAAUUUUUCAAAAAGUGAUAUAAAAACCUUACAAGACGAUAUAAAAAACUUAAAUAUAAGUAAACAUUUAAGUGAAAUAUUAAAUUAUAUUGUUGAUUUAACCUACCAAAUUAAUAAAUAUUCAGAUAUUUUUAUUUUAAUUAAUAUUAUAAAAUAUAUAAGUAUAAAUUAUAAUAAUGUUAAUGAUCUUAUAGAAAAAAUAAUUUUUAUCAAAUUUUUUAAACUUAAUGAAAAUGAUAAAAAUUUUUUUUUUCUCAUUUUGCAUGAUGUAUAUAAUGAUAUUAGUGAAGAUAACAACUGGGUAGGGAAAGCAGCAUCUCUUACCUCGUCAGAAAAUAUAGUUUCGUCAUUUAAAAAUAAUAAAAAUGGGAAAACGAGUGGUUAUGUUAGUAACAAUAUAGUUGAGAAAUGUAGAGGUAGUGUGGACUGGGUAGAUCCAACAGAGGUGGUAGGUCCAGCAGAAGUAGGUCCAACAGAGAUAGGUCCAGCAAAAGUAAAUCCCAAAAUAAAUGAUGCAAAUCCUCAAACACAUUCAAAUUUUAAUUAUAACUUCACCGAUAGCGACAUAAAUAAAAUUACAAAUACAUCAUCUUAUGUGAAUAUAGACGAAUACGAAGUGAGCAAUUUGAAAAAAUUAAAAAAAAAUAGUAAUAAUAAUAAUAAUAAUAAUAGUAGUAAUAAUAGUAAUAGUAAUAAUAAUAAUAAUAAUAAUAGUAGUAAUAAUAGUAAUAGUAAUAAUAAUAAUAAUAAUAGUAAUAAUAAUAAUAAUAAUAAUAAUAGUAAUAAUAGUAAUAAUAAUAAUAGUAAUAAUAAUAAUAAUAAUAAUAGUAAUAAUAAUAAUAAUAAUAAUAAUAGUAAUAGUAAUAAUAAUAAUAAUAAUAUUAUUAUUAUAAAAAAAUUAAAAGAAAUAAAAGAUAAUUUAUUAAAAAAAAUAACUUCUACAAUUUAUGAACAAAAUGAAGAUAAUGAUAACUAUAUGGUUAUGUAUAAUUUAUUUAUGAAUAAUAAUAAAGAAAAAAAUUCAUUGGAUAAAAAAGAAUAUAUAAAAAAAAUAAUAAGCGAUAAUAAUUUUAUGAAACAAAUAAAAAAAAAAAAUAAAAUAAGAAUGAAUAUACUAUGUUUAUAUUUCGAAUUAAUUAUAUUAAAAAUAUGUCACAAUAAGGAUUUAUUAUUAUAUAUGUUUUUGAAUAUUACAUAUUUUUGUCCUUUAAACUUAGACAAUAUUUGUAUAAAUAAAGAUAUAAAAAAUACUGUCACCAAUAAUACAGUUCAUAAUAAUACUACUGCAACUUUUGCAACUUCUACAACUUCUUCAACACCUUCAAAUCUUAUUACUGGUUCUGAUGAGUAUAACACAAUGUGUGGGACGAGUAAAAGUGUGUUAUUAGAAGAUUCGAUACAAGAGGUAAAAGGAGAAACAAAAUUAAAUAACAUUAAUGAAAAAGGAAUAUUGACAACACCAGAAACAGUGGAAAAACCGGUUACGGUGGAAACACCGAUAACAGUGGAUAAAUUAGAAACACCCACAGAUGACAAUAUAUUAAGUAAUACACCACAAUACAUACAAGAGUCCUAUAUCAAACAUAUAAAAAAUUUAAAAAAAAAUAUACUCAGUUAUUUUCGAGCAUUUUAUAAUAACAAUAUGUAUAAUUUAUUAGUAUAUUUUUAUGCUGAACAUGUAAUGAAUGAAUAUAAUAUAAAUAAUAAAACAAGUUAUAUUAAAGAAGAAUAUAAUUUUUAUAAAUUAUAUGAAAAAAGUAAAAAAUUUUGUUUAUUUUUUGAUUUAAAUAAAUAUUCAUUGGAUAAAAUUCAAAUGAAUGGGAUAGACAUAUUAGGAUUAAAAGAAGAAAGUUAUCAACAUAUUAAACGAUUUGAUAAUUUAAAAAAAAAUAAAAAUGAACAUCCUAAAAAUAAUGAAAUAUUAUUAACAGGUGAAUAUGAAUAUAUAUGGGAAAAUGAAAUUGAAAAAAAAUUUUAUACAGUAUUUCCAGAUUUUUCACAUAUAAAUACUACAUUAAAAGAGGAUGAUGGAAGUGAUGAUGUGAUUGAUUACGACAUAAAUAUAAAUAAUUUGGGGUUUGAUGAUGGUGAUGAUAUAUAUGUUAUUAUUGAUGGUAGACAAACAAAUAGUAAUAAAAUUAGUGAUAAAACUGAUAUAAAAAUGACACAAAAGUUAAAAGAUCAAAGUGGGGGGAAAAACCCAAAUGAGGAGAAAGACGAUAACAAUAACAAUAAUAAUAAUAAUAACAAUAAUAAU
rnacentral:lncRNA from 1 species